AACGAACGCUGGCGGCGUGCCUAACACAUGCAAGUCGAACGGAGUUAUAUGGAAGUAGCAAUACGGAAGUAUAACUUAGUGGCGGACGGGUGAGUAACACGUAGGUAACCAACCCUCGAGCGGGGGACAACCCAGGGAAACUUGGGCUAAUACCGCAUAAGACCACGGACUGGGAUGUUUGUGGUAAAAGUAGCAAUACACUUGAGGAUGGGCCUGCGGCCUAUCAGGUAGUUGGUAAGGUAAUGGCUUACCAAGCCUAAGACGGGUAGCCGGACUGAGAGGUUGAACGGCCACACUGGAACUGAGACACGGUCCAGACUCCUACGGGUGGCUG
rnacentral:rRNA from 1 species